rnacentral:misc_RNA from 1 species
AGCAGCCGCGGUAAUUCCAGCUCCAAUAGCGUGUAUUAAAGUUGUUGCAGUUAAAAGCUCGUAGUUGAAUUUCGGGAUUGGCGCAUCGGUCGUGCCUCACGGGGUAUGAACUGGUGCAGUCAAUUUCUCACCUUCUGGAGAACCGCGAUGUCCUUAAUUGGAUGCCGCGGGGAACCAGGACCUUUACUUUGAAAAAUUGAGUGUUUAAAGCAGGCAUUUUUGCUUGAAUACAUUAGCAUGGAAUAAUAAAAUAGGACGGCAUGGUUCUAUUUUGUUGGUUUCUAGGACCACCGUAAUGAUUAAUAGGGAUAGUUGGGGGCAUUAGUAUUCAAUUGUCAGAGGUGAAAUUCUUGGAUUUAUUGAAGACUAACUACUGCGAAAGCAUUUGCCAAGGAUGUUUUCAUUAAUCAAGAACGAAAGUUAGGGAUCGAAGACGAUCAGAUACCGUCGUAGUCUUAACCAUAAACUAUGCCGACUAGGAAUCAGACGAUGUUAAUUUUUUAAUGUACUCGUUUGGCAC